UACCGAGGGGGCAAGCGUUGUUCGGAAUUACUGGGCGUAAAGGGCGCGUAGGCGGCCUGCUAAGUCGAACGUGAAAUCCCCGGGCUCAACCCGGGAACUGCGUCCGGAUACUGGCAGGCUUGAAUCCGGGAGAGGGAUGUGGAAUUCCAGGUGUAGCGGUGAAAUGACGUAGAUAUCUGGAGGAACACCGGUGCCGAAGGCGGCAUCCUGGACCGGUAUUGACGCUGAGGCGCGAAAGCCAGGGG
rnacentral:rRNA from 1 species